rnacentral:rRNA from 1 species
UGGGGAAUAUUGCACAAUGGGCGCAAGCCUGAUGCAGCCAUGCCGCGUGUGUGAAGAAGGCCUUCGGGUUGUAAAGCACUUUCAGCGGGGAGGAAGGCGAUAAGGUUAAUAACCUUGUCGAUUGACGUUACCCGCAGAAGAAGCACCGGCUAACUCCGUGCCAGCAGCCGCGGUAAUACGGAGGGUGCAAGCGUUAAUCGGAAUUACUGGGCGUAAAGCGCACGCAGGCGGUCUGUCAAGUCGGAUGUGAAAUCCCCGGGCUCAACCUGGGAACUGCAUUCGAAACUGGCAGGCUAGAGUCUGGUAGAGGGGGGUAGAAUUCCAGGUGUAGCGGUGAAAUGCGUAGAGAUCUGGAGGAAUACCGGUGGCGAAGGCGGCCCCCUGGACAAAGACUGACGCUCAGGUGCGAAAGCGUGGGGAGCAAACAGG